rnacentral:rRNA from 1 species
GGCGGGUUUUAAUUUGAUGUUACGCGAAAAAACCUUACCAAACUCUUGACAUGUCGGGUCGCGGGGACCAGAAAAUGGACUCCUUCAGUUAGGCUGGACCGAACACAGGUGUUGCAUGGCUGUCGUCAGCUCGUGUCGUGAGAUGUUGGGUUAAGUCCCGCAACGAGCGCAACCCUCAUCCUUAUUUGCCAACAGGUAAUGCUGGGAACUAUAAGGAAACAGCUGGUGAUAAACCAGAGGAAGGUGGGGACGAUGUCAAGUCAUCAUGGCCCUUACGAGUUGGGCUACACGCGUGCUACAAUGGUGGUCACAAUGGGAUGCUAAAGGGCGACCUGGCGCAAAUCCAUAAAAGCCAUCUCAGUUCGGAUUGCACUCUGCAACUCGAGUGCAUGAAGUUGGAAUUGCUAGUAAUCGCGUAUCAGCAUGACGCGGUGAAUACGUUCCCGGGCCUUGUACACACUGCCCGUCACGCCAUGGGAGUUAGCUUUAAUCGAAGCAAGUGAGCUAACCGCAAGGAGGCAGCUUGCCACGUUAGGGUUAAUGACUGGGGUGAAGUCGUAACAAGGUAACCGUAA